UGGGGAAUUUUGGACAAUGGGCGAAAGCCUGAUCCAGCAAUGCCGCGUGUGUGAAGAAGGCCUUCGGGUUGUAAAGCACUUUUGUCCGGAAAGAAAUCCUUGGCUCUAAUACAGUCGGGGGAUGACGGUGCCGGAAGAAUAAGCACCGGCUAACUACGUGCCAGCAGCCGCGGUAAUACGUAGGGUGCAAGCGUUAAUCGGAAUUACUGGGCGUAAAGCGUGCGCAGGCGGUUUGCUAAGACCGAUGUGAAAUCCCCGGGCUCAACCUGGGAACUGCAUUGGUGACUGGCAGGCUAGAGUAUGGCAGAGGGGGGUAGAAUUCCACGUGUAGCAGUGAAAUGCGUAGAGAUGUGGAGGAAUACCGAUGGCGAAGGCAGCCCCCUGGGCCAAUACUGACGCUCAUGCACGAAAAGCGUGGGGAGCAAAACAGGAUUAGAUACCCUGGUAGUCCACGCCCUAAAACGAUGUCAACUAGUUGUUGGGGAUUCAUUUCCUUAGUAACGUAGCUAACGCGUGAAGUUGACCGCCU
rnacentral:rRNA from 1 species